rnacentral:rRNA from 1 species
CCUACGGGUGGCAGCAGUGAGGAAUAUUGGUCAAUGGACGAGAGUCUGAACCAGCCAAGUAGCGUGAAGGAUGACUGCCCUAUGGGUUGUAAACUUCUUUUAUAUGGGAAUAAAACGUUCCACGUGUGGGAUUUUGUAUGUACCAUAUGAAUAAGGAUCGGCUAACUCCGUGCCAGCAGCCGCGGUAAUACGGAGGAUCCGAGCGUUAUCCGGAUUUAUUGGGUUUAAAGGGAGCGUAGGUGGAUUGUUAAGUCAGUUGUGAAAGUUUGCGGCUCAACCGUAAAAGUGCAGUUGAAACUGGCAGUCUUGAGUACAGUAGAGGUGGGCGGAAUUCGGGGUGUAGCGGUGAAAUGCUUAGAUAUCACGAAGAACUCCGAUUGCGAAGGCAGUUCACUGGACUGCAACUGACACUGAGGCUCGAAAGUGUGGGUAUCAAACAGGAUUAGAUACCCCGGUAGUC